rnacentral:rRNA from 1 species
GCGUGCCUAAUACAUGCAAGUCGAGCGGACUUGAAGAGAAGCUUGCUUCUCGGAUGGUUAGCGGCGGACGGGUGAGUAACACGUAGGCAACCUGCCUGUAAGAUCGGGAUAACUACCGGAAACGGUAGCUAAGACCGGAUAACCGGUAUCUCCGCAUGGAGAGACUGUGAAACACGGAGCAAUCUGUGGCUUACGGAUGGGCCUGCGGCGCAUUAGCUAGUUGGUGAGGUAACGGCUCACCAAGGCGACGAUGCGUAGCCGACCUGAGAGGGUGAACGGCCACACUGGGACUGAGACACGGCCCAGACUCCUACGGGAGGCAGCAGUAGGGAAUCUUCCGCAAUGGACGAAAGUCUGACGGAGCAACGCCGCGUGAGUGAUGAAGGUUUUCGGAUCGUAAAGCUCUGUUGCCAGGGAAGAACGCCAAGGAGAGUAACUGCUCUUUGGGUGACGGUACCUGAGAAGAAAGCCCCGGCUAACUACGUGCCAGCAGCCGCGGUAAUACGUAGGGGGCAAGCGUUGUCCGGAAUUAUUGGGCGUAAAGCGCGCGCAGGCGGUUUUUUAAGUCUGGUGUUUAAUCCCGAGGCUCAACCUCGGUUCGCACCGGAACUGGGAGACUGGAGUGCAGGAGAGGAAAGUGGAAUUCCACGUGUAGCGGUGAAAUGCGUAGAGAUGUGGAGGAACACCAGUGGCGAAGG